rnacentral:tRNA from 1 species
GUUAACACCACUGUAAGUGCUUUUGAUUUGAAAUCAAAAUGAUUGUUUUUAUUAGCAAUGUUAACU